AGAGUUUGAUCAUGGCUCAGAUUGAACGCUGGCGGCAGGCCUAACACAUGCAAGUCGAGCGGUAGCACAGAGAGCUUGCUCUCGGGUGACGAGCGGCGGACGGGUGAGUAAUGUCUGGGAAACUGCCUGAUGGAGGGGGAUAACUACUGGAAACGGUAGCUAAUACCGCAUAAUGUCGCAAGACCAAAGUGGGGGACCUUCGGGCCUCAUGCCAUCAGAUGUGCCCAGAUGGGAUUAGCUAGUAGGUGGGGUAACGGCUCACCUAGGCGACGAUCCCUAGCUGGUCUGAGAGGAUGACCAGCCACACUGGAACUGAGACACGGUCCAGACUCCUACGGGAGGCAGCAGUGGGGAAUAUUGCACAAUGGGCGCAAGCCUGAUGCAGCCAUGCCGCGUGUGUGAAGAAGGCCUUCGGGUUGUAAAGCACUUUCAGCGGGGAGGAAGGCGUUAAGGUUAAUAACCUCAUCGAUUGACGUUACCCGCAGAAGAAGCACCGGCUAACUCCGUGCCAGCAGCCGCGGUAAUACGGAGGGUGCAAGCGUUAAUCGGAAUUACUGGGCGUAAAGCGCACGCAGGCGGUCUGUCAAGUCGGAUGUGAAAUCCCCGGGCUCAACCUGGGAACUGCAUUCGAAACUGGCAGGCUAGAGUCUUGUAGAGGGGGGUAGAAUUCCAGGUGUAGCGGUGAAAUGCGUAGAGAUCUGGAGGAAUACCGGUGGCGAAGGCGGCCCCCUGGACAAAGACUGACGCUCAGGUGCGAAAGCGUGGGGAGCAAACAGGAUUAGAUACCCUGGUAGUCCACGCCGUAAACGAUGUCGAUUUGGAGGUUGUGCCCUUGAGGCGUGGCUUCCGGAGCUAACGCGUUAAAUCGACCGCCUGGGGAGUACGGCCGCAAGGUUAAAACUCAAAUGAAUUGACGGGGGCCCGCACAAGCGGUGGAGCAUGUGGUUUAAUUCGAUGCAACGCGAAGAACCUUACCUGGUCUUGACAUCCACAGAACUUUCCAGAGAUGGAUUGGUGCCUUCGGGAACUGUGAGACAGGUGCUGCAUGGCUGUCGUCAGCUCGUGUUGUGAAAUGUUGGGUUAAGUCCCGCAACGAGCGCAACCCUUAUCCUUUGUUGCCAGCGGUCCGGCCGGGAACUCAAAGGAGACUGCCAGUGAUAAACUGGAGGAAGGUGGGGAUGACGUCAAGUCAUCAUGGCCCUUACGACCAGGGCUACACACGUGCUACAAUGGCAUAUACAAAGAGAAGCGACCUCGCGAGAGCAAGCGGACCUCAUAAAGUAUGUCGUAGUCCGGAUUGGAGUCUGCAACUCGACUCCAUGAAGUCGGAAUCGCUAGUAAUCGUAGAUCAGAAUGCUACGGUGAAUACGUUCCCGGGCCUUGUACACACCGCCCGUCACACCAUGGGAGUGGGUUGCAAAAGAAGUAGGUAGCUUAACCUUCGGGAGGGCGCUUACCACUUUGUGAUUCAUGACUGGGGUGAAGUCGUAACAAGGUAACCGUAGGGGAACCUGCGGUUGGAUCACCU
rnacentral:rRNA from 1 species